ACCGUUAAUAGUUGAGAAAGC
rnacentral:misc_RNA from 1 species